ensembl:lncRNA
AAUAAUAUCAAUAGUACAUGCCAUCUUGGUCAACAGGAACACUGGGAAACAAAAGGAUGCCUCGUGAGAGCAGUAGACAAUGCCCACAUUUGAGCAUGCACUUUACUCAGAAAAAGUAGACUAAAAUAACUAAAAACAAAACAAAACAACUGUAUGUGAAUUGCAUUAUGACUAAAUUAUGACUAAAUUGUUUUAUAUUCUGAGACAAGUUCUGUUUCUGACAUAUUUUAUAAAAUCACUUGCAGUAAGUUAAAUACAGGAUGACCAUGGUCUUUCACAUUUAUCAACCACUCAGGAAUCAAAGGCAAAUACUGUAAAUCCAUAUCUGCUCUGAGCUUAUACAGGCAGAACAAAGAAACUGGCUGACUCAAACAUGGAUACUUUGGAGGGAGGAAGAAGGCAGCAGGACAUUCCAGCAUAAAGAAAAAGACAUUUACCAAUUUCACUGAUUUACUACAAUGAAACCUUGAAGAGUGCAAUUACAGGAUCUUUAUUUGGUGGAUGUGGAGGAACCACACUAAGUGAUUUGUCUAAUCAUACAAUUGGAAUUGAAAGCUGCUUUUUCCUCAGGAAGGAUGCUGGGAUGCACUUUGGAUUCUUUUCCUGCUGCUUCUUGGCUCAGGCCCUGGCAGACAAUGGCAGAUACCUCCCAGAGGAGCAGCUACUAGGAGAUCCAGGGCUGAAUGCCUGACUACUGAACUUCACAGAUCAAACACAUACACCAAAUUUGAGACUGAGAAAUGUCUUAUCCUUCAGAUGGCAUUAUGCUGUUUAAUGUUCUUCACACAGCAUCACAGGAAUGAUAGCUUCCAUGGCACAAGAGCAUUCUCUCAGAAAAGCUGGCAGACUGAGGCCUGGAGAGAUACACUCUUUACUGCAUUAAGAACUGGCUGGAGAGCCAGACUCAGAGAGUGAUGGUGAAUGGAGUUAAAUUCAGCUGGUGACCAGGGGUCAGUACUGGAUUCCAUUCUGUUUAAUAUCUUUGUUGAUGACUUAGAUGAGAGGUUUGAGUACACCCUCAGUAAAUUUGCAGAUGACACCAUGUUGCCUGGAGGUUCUGGACCAACCACAGAGGGUUCUGGACAGGCUGGAUUGAUGGGCUGAGGCCAAUGGGAUGAAGUUCAACAAGACCGAGUGCUGACUUCUGCACUUUGGUCACAAAAAUCCCAAGCAACACUACAAGCUUGAAUCAGAAUGACUGUAAGACUGUGUGGAAGAAAUGGACCUGGGGGUAUUGGUCAAUGCUCAUUUGAAUGUGAGCCAGCAGUGUGCCCAGGUGGUGAAGAAGGUGAAUAGCAUCCUCGCUUGUAUCAGAAAUAGUGUUGGCAGCAGGAGCAGAGAGGUGAUCAUCCCCUUGUACUCAGCUCUGGUGAAGCCACACCUUGAACUCUGUGUUCAGUUUUGGGCCCCUUGCUACAAUUAAGUCCUGAAGUAUGUCUAGAGAAAAGCAACAAAACUGGUGCGGGAUCUGGAGCACAAGGCUUAUGAGGAGCAGCUGAGGGAGCUGGGACUUCUUAGUCUGGAGAAGAGGAGGCUCAGUGGAGGCAUGAAAGAAGGUUGUGGCAAGGUGGAGGUUAGCCUCUGCUUCUGGGUAACUAGCAAUAGGAUGAGAGGGAAUGGCCUCAAGUUACAGCAGGGGAGAUUCAGGUUGGACAUUAGAAAAAAAUUAUUCACUGUAAGAGUGAUGAGUCACUGAAAUGGGCUGU